rnacentral:rRNA from 1 species
AUGAUGGAGAGUUUGAUCCUGGCUCAGAACGAACGCUGGCGGUGCGUUUUAAGCAUGCAAGUCGAACGGCAAGGAAGCGAAUUUUCGUUUCUCUAGAGUGGCGGACUGGUGAGUAACGCGUGGGUAAUCUGCCUUUGAGAUGGGGAUAGCCUCUAGAAAUAGGGGGUAAUACCGAAUACGCUCUUUUGGACGUAGGUCUUUGAGAGGAAAGGGGCUGCGGCCUCGCUCAGAGAUGAGCCUGCGACCCAUUAGCUUGUUGGUGGGGUAAUGGCCUACCAAGGCGUCGAUGGGUAUCCGACCUGAGAGGGUGACCGGACACACUGGGACUGAGAUACGGCCCAGACUCCUACGGGAGGCAGCAGCUAAGAAUAUUCCGCAAUGGGCGAAAGCCUGACGGAGCGACACCGCGUGGAUGAGGAAGGUCGAAAGAUUGUAAAGUUCUUUUGCCGACGAAGAAUGAGGACGGGAGGGAAUGCCCGUUUGAUGACGGUAGUCGUGCGAAUAAGCCCCGGCUAAUUACGUGCCAGCAGCCGCGGUAACACGUAAGGGGCGAGCGUUGUUCGGAAUUAUUGGGCGUAAAGGGCAUGCAGGCGGACUGGUAAGCCUGGUGUGAAAUCCCCGAGCUCAACUUGGGAACUGCACUGGGUACUGCUGGUCUAGAAUCACGGAGGGGAAACCGGAAUUCCAAGUGUAGGGGUGGAAUCUGUAGAUAUUUGGAAGAACACCGGUGGCGAAGGCGGGUUUCUGGCCGAUGAUUGACGCUGAGGUGCGAAGGUGUGGGGAGCGAACAGGAUUAGAUACCCUGGUAGUCCACGCAGUAAACGAUGUACACUAGGUGUUGGGGCAUGAGUCUCGGCGCCGACGCGAACGCAUUAAGUGUACCGCCUGGGGAGUACGCUCGCAAGANUGAAACUCAAAGGAAUUGACGGGGGCCCGCACAAGCGGUGGAGCAUGUGGUUUAAUUCGAUGAUACGCGAGGAACCUUACCCGGGUUUGACAUCAAGAGGAGCGCCGUAGAAAUGCGGUGGCGUAGCGAUACGCCUCUUNACAGGUGCUGCAUGGCUGUCGUCAGCUCGUGUCGUGAGAUGUUGGGUUAAGUCCCGCAACGAGCGCAACCCUUACUGCCAGUUGCCAGCAAGUGGUGUUGGGGACUCUGGCGGAACUGCCGGUGACAAACCGGAGGAAGGUGGGGAUGACGUCAAGUCCUCAUGGCCCUUAUGGNCAGGGCUACACACGUGCUACAAUGGUUGCUACAGAGCGAUGCGAGGUUGUGAAGUGGAGCAAACCGCAAAAAGGCAAUCGUAGUCCGGAUUGAAGUCUGAAACUCGACUUCAUGAAGUUGGAAUCGCUAGUAAUCGCACAUCAGCAUGGUGCGGUGAAUGUGUUCCCGGGCCUUGUACACACCGCCCGUCACACCAUCCGAGUUGGAGAUACCCGAAGUCACUAGCCUAACCCGCAAGGGAGGGCGGUGCCGAAGGUAUGUUUGGUAACUGGGGUGAAGUCGUAACAAGGUAGCCGUACCGGAAGGUGCGGCUGGAUCACCUCCUUU